rnacentral:misc_RNA from 1 species
UGCGGAGCGGGGGGAGGGGUACACACGUUCAUCCCGCUGGCUCCUGGCCGCGUAUGCAGUACAGUUCUCUAUUAAAGCACAUUAUCGUGGGCGUUCUGGUUAGCACACGCAAGUGUCGGUUAGGGGCAUAACGCCGUUCUCUCCGUGGCACCCCUUUUUCGCUGAUCGUCUAGUCUGCCGCGCCUUGUGUGGUGCCCUGAGCCUUUGCUUGCAAUAUUGUUUCUCGUAUGCGUGGGGCUCUGUGCCGCUGCCGUUUCUCAUUCCAGCACACAUUCCAAAGUACCUCAGCGCAUCAUCGGCGCCCGACACGAUGGGGCUUCUCUCUAUCAUCAAGAAGACGAAGCGUAAAGAGCGUGAAAUGCGCAUCCUUAUGCUAGGCCUGGACAACGCCGGGAAAACUACGUGCGUCAAAAAGCUCUGCGGGAAGGACACGAGCUCUAUCAGCCCCACUCUCGGCUUUCAGAUUACUGCUCUGACGUUUCGUGGGUGCACACUGAACGUGUGGGAUGUGGGUGGCCAGCAAAGCUUGCGCAGCUACUGGCGCAACUACUUUGAAAGCACGGAUGGUCUUGUGUGGGUGGUCGACAGCAAUGACGUGAAGAGACUGCUAAUGUGCAAGGAGGAGCUGCAUCACCUCCUGCAGGAGGAGCGACUUGCCGGAGCAAGUUUGCUCGUCUUCCUCAAUAAGAUCGACAUUCCCACUGCGUUAUCGCCGCAGGAGAUUGCCCGCCUGCUUGAUGUAGACACGAUUCGACAAGGCAAGCGCCACGUACACCUCUGCGCGUGUAGUGCCAGAACCGGUGAGGGCUUGCUAGACGGCAUUUCAUGGAUGGUAGACGACGUUUCAAAGCGCAUGUACUUAUCAAGCUAGCACCGCCCGAGGGUGUGGAGGGUAGGGGGUUGCUAACCGAGUAACCGGCGAGCGGCGCGCGGAGAGCUCUGUGAUGGCGAUGCACGUAUGACAUUUUUGGUGAGCGUCUUUGUACUGCUGCGAGCGACGCAGAAGCAUAAGAGACAUAAGAGACAAGAGAGGAAAUCAUACAGGCACGAUGGCUGCAAGGAACGGCGACGAAGCUCACAGCGUGAGGCAGCCACGUCGCCCGUCGACGGUUAGCGCGUUGGCAGUCGAUGGAGACGCUGGGUGACACUAUUAUGAAUGCGCGCAUGCCUCACUUUUUCGUCUAGGCUUCACUUCAACGUUGAUCCAAUCCCGGGCCUCAUACGUGUUCGGAGUUUUUUUUUUCUUCAG